rnacentral:lncRNA from 1 species
AAAAUUUCAAAAUGCUUUAAACUUAAUAAAACUUUAUAUUAUUGUUAACUGACAAGUAAUGAAGAGGCUUUUGACUUUGAAAUUUUCAAAAUGGCUGCCGUUGCCAUGGAAACGGUAGAAAUGUGAAAUUUUUAAAAUGCUGUGAAUGUACUGAAAAUUUACAGAAAGAUGUAUUGCCAUGCAUAUAUGUGCAUUCACUGUUAAACGAUUCUGAAAUGGCUGCAACUUAGUGGCAAUUGGGGGAAGGGUGACAUCCGCUAUUGCUUGCAAUGGCAAUUAUGGCACCCUCAACGGAGUUGGGGUGACGUAUUGUUAUUCAUCGAUUCUUUUUUUCCUUAUUCUUCUUCCACACAUUUUUUCCACGCAGUUUCUUGGAAUUGAGUUGACCAAUGAUGAUGGAAGUAUACCACAAUGUGCACCAGCAUGUGAAGUUGUGCACCUGAC